rnacentral:miRNA from 1 species
UUCCGGUCGCUGUGCUCUCGCC